rnacentral:rRNA from 1 species
UACAGAGGUCCCAAGCGUUGUUCGGAUUCAUUGGGCGUAAAGGGUGUGUAGGUGGCGCGCUAAGUCGGGUGUGAAAUUUCGGAGCUUAACUCCGAAACUGCAUUCGAUACUGGCGUGCUUGAGGACUGGAGAGGAGACUGGAAUUCAUGGUGUAGCAGUGAAAUGCGUAGAUAUGCGGAGGAACACCGAUGGCGAAGGCAAUCCCCUGGGCCUGCACUGACGCUCAUGCACGAAAGCGUGGGGAGCAAACAGG